GGUGAUUGUUGGGAGUGAGGACAGCAAAAAGCAAAAUCUGUGGGGGACCCACCGUUCCAUCUUUGAGGAGACAUUGCGCAGAAUUCAUCUGAUCAAAUUUUGUUCUUGGGAACAGGUGUAUCUCCAAGAGCAUUUGCCCAAACCUUCUGCAUGCAGCUCUGUCUCAGAGUCUGCUUGGGGACCCUAACUUCAGACACGCCGAGGAAACACACGCUGCAUCAUCAGCUUGGGUACCAGCACCCUCCUUGGGGUUAGUUGCUCCCAUGUCUUGGCUUCCUUCAUGUGGUGUCUGACUUAGAGUGCUCAUGCAGUGCUCAUGGAAUGAGUGAUUGAAAGCAAAGCUUGGUAGAUGGAGAUGUUUGGAAUUAUGUUCGGGCACAUGAAAAAAGAAACAAGAAAAAUGGAUAAAAAAAUCCCUUUAAAGCAAAACGACUUCAGAUUUGGCAGGUGGGCAGUGGGGACCCAGUGCUGUGAUCCUGUGACCUGAAGUGGGCGGAUGCUCCCAGCUGCUUGCUGACUCUCCCUGGGACCCACAGCCGGGUCAGGGCUGUUCUUGACUGAGUUGUGUCUUCAUGCCAUCCCCCAGCACCUGCCUCAGCCCUGCGCUCUGCUGACACUGGCCUUGAGCUUCUGGCUCAGGUCUGAUCACUCCUUGGCAUCCCUCCCACUGGGCAGGUCUGCUGGCUGUGGGACAUCAUCCAGGGACUUUGCACUCAGCUUUUCUCCUCCUGAGAUAUCUGUAUGCAGGUCAGGAAGCAACAGUUAGAACUGGACAUUAAACAACAGACUGGUUCCAAACAGGAAAAGGAGUACAUCAAGGCUGUAUAUUGUCACCCUGCUUAUUUAAAUUAUAUGCAGAGUACAUCAUGAGAAACGCUGGGCUGGAUGAAAUACAAGCUGGAAUCCAGACUGCUGAGAGAAAUAUCAAUAACCUCAGAUACGCAGAUGACAUCACCCUUAUGGCAGAAAGUGAAGAACUAAAGAGCCUGAAGGCCA
ensembl:lncRNA